rnacentral:rRNA from 1 species
UCCUGCUCAAUGAUUUUAAAUAGCCGCAGUACCCUGACUGUGCAAAGGUAGCAUAAUCAGUUGGCUUUUAAUUGGAGUCUGGUACGAACGGAUUUCUGGAAAGUAACUGUAUCUUAUUUAUUUACGCGAAAUUAAUUUGUAAGUGAAAAUACUUACAUCUUUAGAGAGGACGAGAAGACCCUAGAAAUUUCUUUUAUUUUGUUGGGGCGACAGAAUUACAAUUAAACUAAUUUGAAUUAACGUGGCGUUAUUACAGUUCGAUUAAAUUACUCUAGGGAUAACAGCAUAAUUUAACUAGUUUGUGACCUCGAUGUUGGACUAGGACAUUAAUGGUUUAGAAGACCUUUAAUAGUGCUCUGUUCGAGCAAAUAUUUCCUACGUGAUCUGAUUUCAGACCGGA